GACGAACGCUGGCGGCGUGCUUAACACAUGCAAGUCGAACGAUGAACCCGGAGCUUGCUCCGGUGGAUUAGUGGCGAACGGGUGAGUAACACGUGAGUAACCUGCCCUUGACUCUGGGAUAACUGCGGGAAACUGUAGCUAAUACCGGAUACGACCCUCGGCGGCAUCGCCAGGGGGUGGAAAGAAUUUCGGUCAAGGAUGGACUCGCGGCCUAUCAGCUAGUGGGUGAGGUAACGGCUCACCAAGGCGACGACGGGUAGCCGGCCUGCGAGGGUGACCGGCCACACUGGGACUGAGACACGGCCCAGACUCCUACGGGAGGCAGCAGUGGGGAAUAUUGCACAAUGGGCGCAAGCCUGAUGCAGCAACGCCGCGUGAGGGAUGACGGCCUUCGGGUUGUAAACCUCUUUCAGCACCGACGAAGCGCAAGUGACGGUAGGUGCAGAAGAAGGACCGGCCAACUACGUGCCAGCAGCCGCAGUAA
rnacentral:rRNA from 1 species